CAAGAAGUGUGUGUGUGUCGGACUGUCACGGGACAGUCACAAGAGAGUCAGGAGAUUAGUGCAGUUCUGUGCAGUUGUGAGCAAGGGUGAGUGCAAGGCAGAUUCAGUUUAGAUGCAAUGUAUAUAGUAUAGAAUAAUAAAGUAAUUAUUUAGCCUUCUGAUGAUGGAGUCAGAUGCAUAAUUUUCUCUCCCUCUCACACGGAGUCGCCCUUGAUUAGUAAUAAGUGGUGAACCUGGACAAGUGACUGUGGCCUGGACUGGAGAACCAAGACUCUGAAUUUGGGCAGAGUUCGUAGCAUGGCUGAGCACAGAAAGAAUCUGCCGAGAAAAAAUCCCAGAAGCGUGUCCAGAGAUCGUCGUGGGACAGAUGGGAAGAGCCUCUAGGACCCCGCGGGACCCCGAGCCUGGACGCUGCCACCUGCUUUCCCCAGAGAGAAAGCAUGCGCAGGAGCCGACAUCAGCAGCACCGUCUCUCACUGCUUCGCUCAGGUUGCCAGGAAACGCGAUCAACAGUGGCAGCUGCGAGCAACGGCAGCCUGACCUUGGGGAGGGACGUGCCUCCGCCGCUGAGUGCUGGCCCGAAGACGCUCCGGCAGCCGCGGAGACUCCACCGGCCCCGCCCCUGACAAGGGGUGCGGCCGCCCGCAUCGCGUUGGAGAGCUCGGCUGGCCCCGCGCUGAAUGGCACACCAGAAGUCCCGGCAGCGGAGCCAGUGGAAGAGGGACCACCGCCUCCUCCUCCACCCCUCCUGGGGCUGAGAGACACCCGCAGCUUCGGCGGCGCCGGCCUCGCCCCCACCUACCCCACGGGAGGUGCCGGCCCCGCCCGGGGCGACACUUCCAGCACAGCCAGUGAUGGCUGAGACCGCGGAGGCCCCGCCCGCCGCCGCGGUGGGAAAUGUUGAAGCUGUGGACGAUUCCGACCCACCCCCACUGCCUCCUACCGGCCCGGCUCUGGUUCAGCAUGCCUGCUGUGAUGCUGAGAACAGCGACCAGCCAGCGGAGCCACCCCCACUGCCUCCUGCCGACCCGGUUUCGGUUCCAGAAGAGGCUGAGGACGGCGACCAGCCGGCAGAAUCACCCCGCGCGCCAUCCGCGGCCCCGCCUCCGACGGCGGCUGCUGCAGAGCCCAUGAACAGCCCCACCCCCACCCCCUCCCGCAGCGACGGAGCCCGCGCCGGACCCGCCCCGCCCGGAACCGAGAGAGACAGCAGCAGUGCUUCUUUGCGCGCUCCCGCUGCCCCCGCCGCCUCCGGCGGCAGCUGCCGUGGCACCUGCGGCCGGGCCGGACUCCCCCCCGAUCUUUUCGGGCUGUCCCGAGGCUGCUUCUGCGGGGGUGAGCUGGGACAGCAGCAGGGGGUGUCAGCCUGUCUCCCUGGGGAGGCGUGGCUCGUUUGCUCACAGCAGGUGCCUCCCAGCUGACAACUCUGAAGCUCAGUGCUUUUCUGGGGCAAGACAUUUUUCGCGGGCCGACUCUGGCUUGCUCGGGGGGUUCUCUCUAGGGUUUGGGAUGCAUGGUUCCCCCUGCACGCACCAGUGGCGAGGGUGAGGUCGUUUCCGGAGUUGCUACCUCUGGUCCCAAGCCCCGAGGGGAUGGGGAUGGUACCGCUGAUCAGAGGGCUGGGCAACACUCAUUUGUAUAACGGGGGAGAACGGUGCAGCAGGGAGCAGACGACACUUGCUUGUCCUGGGCAAGUGGGGACCCCAAAUCCAUCAUGGGGAUUCAAAUUCCUGAAAAAGUUUCUCCUUCCCAGCCGCCGACAUGGGCCGCUGGGUCUGGGGGGAGGGGCAAGAAGCGUUUGGUAUAGAUAUUUUUGGAUCUGUGCAGACUUUUGUGUGUUUCUUUUUAAACUAUACCCGUGGGAGCUAGUAUCAAGUUAACAGAGAAAACAUAGGUCCUGCCUUUGAUAUUUCAGGUACAGACAUUUAUACCAAUGCUUUGGCCUGGUGUAAUCACACAUUGCCAUGGCAAAUUGUUGUAAGAGAAGUGGCCCUUGGAUUACUAGACAACAUAUUUUUGAUAUGUGGAAACAGAGUUUGGGAAGGAACACCAGGAAGGGCUUUAGGAAGUCCUUGUACUUUUGGGCAACUGACCAUGUUUCACUCUUUACAAGAAAAUUUAACAUUCUUUCAUAGGCUAGUAUGAACAAAGUGUGGCACCCACACAUAUGGCCAAUAUUGCGAUGAUAGCAUUGAGUCUUGGAACAUUGGACCACAAGUAUUUGCCUCAAUUAUCCCAUCUAUUGGCACAGCACAUGCCUUAAAAACCCUGAAUAACCUUGGCUGUUGGCCUGCGAAACAAACUAAGGCUGCUAGCUCUCCUUUAACAGGCCUAUUAACAGAUGUUGAUAGUGUGACAUGCUAUGCUGCAGAAUAGAACUGCAAUAGAUUUUUUGCUUUUAGCACAUGGACACAGUUGUGAAGACUUUGAAGGCUUAUGCUGCAUGAAUUUAUCUGAUGGCUCUCAUUCUAUUCACGCUGUGAAAAACGCCAAUCACUUGUUUUUGAAAUUUUAAAAGUUUAAUAGUAGUAAUAUAAUCAGAAUAAUAAAGUUUGAACAAUUGAGAUUAGGACAAUAUGAGACAAUAAAAACAAAGAGAUACGGACGUCCGGGUACCUUUUUCUGGGCAACACGAGCCCGAAAAAGGACCCCGGUUAACAGAGGAUUAACUCUUAAAAACAAUUGCCUGUUGCAUAUUCAUACGUCUCAUACAUGAUGCAUAAAUUCCAUUCAAACACAGGAUUCUGUCUGGUCACUGUCAAUUUCUUCCUCUUAAUCCUCAUGCCGUCUUCCUGUCUGAGCAAGGUGGGAAGAAGUUAGUUUUCUGCUGAUAAGGGAGCAAUAAAUUCCCUUUCUCUGAAAGAUUUAGGUGUCCUGUGGCGUCUAUCUGGUGCAAGUCCUUUCUUAACCAAAUAUCUUACAUAGCAUAGUUUCUAUUUUAACAUUAUGUUAUAACCUAAAACUAUAUUUAAUAGUGAAUUUAAUACUUAAGAAAAUUAAUACAGCAUAACUUUCUAACAUAACACAUACAAUAUUCAUUUUAAUACUUGCGAAAAGCCAAUCAUAAAAUACACAUUUUUCACAACGCCAGCAUACAAGCCCUUAGAGACAGUGUCACUAAAUUAAGGGUUGUAGAUUAUAGCAAUUGGCUUGGAUGCAUACUUGGGAAAUGGGGGCUUACUGGCUGCCUUAAGAAUUCAGUUAUGACAGGGAUUUAUGUUUUAGCUAUGUUGCUGCUUAUAGCAAUUUGCUUGCCAUGUGUUUUGCAGUGUGUUCAGAGACUAAUUGAUAAGUCCAUGAAGAAGAUUUUACUGGCAGAAAACAAAGGGGGAGAUGUGGGGUUUCAGCUAGAGAGCAGGGCUGAAACUGACAUAGAUGUGCUAACCUUGGUGGGAUGGAAACCAUGGCAUCAAUGAAUAGGAGUGUGAGGGUGUCUUAGGUUGGAAGUGGGGAUGUGUAUUCUAUUUGCCAUCUGUUAGAGGUGGGGCAGUUUUCUUCUGUUAAUUGGACAGUUUUCUUUAUCUCUUCCACAACCAAUCCCCCCUCCGGGAAAUAUCUUCUAUUAAUAAGCCAUUGAAUCUCACUGCAUGACUGACAAAAUUAUAUCGUCCCAUUGUGAGAUGCUCUGCCCAGGGGGAGGAGCCAAACAUUCCUACCUAGAUAUAAUCUGAGAUUUAGAACACCAGAGCCAGCCUUUUCCCACUAGACUCUCAGAGGAGCAGCUUUUCUUCUUCACUGGAUUCCCAGAGGAAGACCAGGCCCAUCUACACCACUAGACCUUCAGAAGAAAACUACACCCUUCUACAAGAUCACUACUUCAACAAAACCACACCUGUCACUCCAGGAGGACUGCAGCCACCAUUUAAUCAGACUGCUACCAACACCUUGACUAACAGGGUGUCAGGUUGUAUUCUGGCUCUGUCAGUGGGGUUUUUUUGUUUGUUUUUACUAUUGCAUUUGUAUUUUUAAUUUUCCUAGUAAAGAACUGUUAUUCCUAUUCCCAUAUCUUUACCUGAGAGCCUCUUAAUUUCAAAAUUAUAAUAAUUCAGAGAGAGGAAGUUUACAUUUUCAAUUUCAAGACAGUCUCCUGCCUUCCUUAACAAACACCUGUCUUUUCAAACCAAGAUGGGGGGAAGUGAAAAGGAAUGUUAUACUUUCUUUUAGAGUAGCCAGGUAGAACUGCACCUGCAGAACUGUGGUUAAGCAACAUAGUUGAGACAUGAGUGAUGUAGUUAUUGUUUAGUAGUGGAAAAUUUUAGCUGAUGUUGUAAAACUAUAUAAACCCUGCUUCACAAAGAAUAAACGGCUUCUUCUUGCAUACGA